UUAUUCUAAAUAUAGAAUAGAAGUAAUUAAAUAAUAUAAAUAAAUCUUAUGGCUCGAACCUAGAGAAGAAGCCUGAGAAACAGCUACUACAUCUAAGGAACGUAGUAGGCGUGCAAAUUACCUAAUCCCGACACAAGGAGGUAGUGACGAUAA
rnacentral:ncRNA from 1 species